AAUCCAUAGGUUAAUGAGGCGAACCGGGGGAACUGAAACAUCUAAGUACCCCGAGGAAAAGAAAUCAACCGAGAUUCCCCCAGUAGCGGCGAGCGAACGGGGAGGAGCCCAGAGCCUGAAUCAGCAUGUGUGUUAGUGGAAGCGUCUGGAAAGGCGCGCGAUACAGGGUGACAGCCCCGUACACAAAAGCGCAUGUGCUGUGAGCUCGAUGAGUAGGGCGGGACACGUGGUAUCCUGUCUGAAUAUGGGGGGACCAUCCUCCAAGGCUAAAUACUCCUGACUGACCGAUAGUGAACCAGUACCGUGAGGGAAAGGCGAAAAGAACCCCGGCGAGGGGAGUGAAAAAGAACCUGAAACCGUGUACGUACAAGCAGUGGGAGCCCCACCACCAAAGCAUUCUCUGGUGUUGAAGGCCCUGCAAAGCAGCAUCGCGGUGGCGGAGCGUCGUUUGCGACGCCCAACACACAAAACAAGCGGUGAGUGCUUUGGGGUGGGGUGACUGCGUACCUUUUGUAUAAUGGGUCAGCGACUUAUAUUCUGUAGCAAGGUUAACCGAAUAGGGGAGCCGGAGGGAAACCGAGUCUUAAUUGGGCGUUAAGUUGCAGGGUAUAGACCCGAAACCCGGUGAUCUAGCCAUGGGCAGGUUGAAGGUUGGGUAACACUAACUGGAGGACCGAACCGACUAAUGUUGAAAAAUUAGCGGAUGACCUGUGGCUGGGGGUGAAAGGCCAAUCAAACCGGGAGAUAGCUGGUUCUCCCCGAAAGCUAUUUAGGUAGCGCCUCGUGAAUUCAUCUCCGGGGGUAGAGCACUGUUUCGGCUAGGGGGCCAUCCCGGCUUACCAACCCGAUGCAAACUGCGAAUACCGGAGAAUGUUAUCACGGGAGACACACGGCGGGUGCUAACGUCCGUCGUGAAGAGGGAAACAACCCAGACCGCCAGCUAAGGUCCCAAAGUCAUGGUUAAGUGGGAAACGAUGUGGGAAGGCCCAGACAGCCAGGAUGUUGGCUUAGAAGCAGCCAUCAUUUAAAGAAAGCGUAAUAGCUCACUGGUCGAGUCGGCCUGCGCGGAAGAUGUAACGGGGCUAAACCAUGCACCGAAGCUGCGGCAGCGAACGUAUCACUUAAAGCGAUUCAGCGGGUUACGAUUGACGGAGCGAAGCGACGUCAAAGCGUAUACAAAGUCGAGUCGGUUUAAGGAUACGUUCGUUGGGUAGGGGAGCGUUCUGUAAGCCUGUGAAGGUGUGUCGUGAGGCAUGCUGGAGGUAUCAGAAGUGCGAAUGCUGACAUAAGUAACGAUAAAGCGGGUGAAAAGCCCGCUCGCCGGAAGACCAAGGGUUCCUGUCCAACGUUAAUCGGGGCAGGGUGAGUCGACCCCUAAGGCGAGGCCGAAAGGCGUAGUCGAUGGGAAACGGGUUAAUAUUCCCGUACUUGGUGUUACUGCGAAGGGGGGACGGAGAAGGCUAUGUUGGCCGGGCGACGGUUGUCCCGGUUUAAGCGUGUAGGUGUGUGUUCCAGGUAAAUCCGGUUCACUUUAACACUGAGGCGUGAUGACGAGGCACUACGGUGCUGAAGCAACAAAUGCCCUGCUUCCAGGAAAAGCCUCUAAGCAUCAGGUAACAUCAAAUCGUACCCCAAACCGACACAGGUGGUCAGGUAGAGAAUACCAAGGCGCUUGAGAGAACUCGGGUGAAGGAACUAGGCAAAAUGGUGCCGUAACU
rnacentral:rRNA from 2 species